rnacentral:rRNA from 1 species
AUGUUCUUUAUUUGGAAUUGCAUAGCAAUGUUCUUCUUUCUCAAAUUUGACAUGUGCCUUUUGGUCAGCCAUAAAAAGAAGACUAUAUUGUUCACUAGAGACAUGGUGCAAAUUUUUUUUAAUGUCCCAUCCGGACCAAGGGUAGUGGAGCUGUUGAAGAGGAACGAACAUUGCGAGCUGCGCGACAUAUAUCGAGAAGGCACAAGGGCUCCAAUUAAGAAAUCCAUUUCUGUAAUCAAGAAAGCAUCGGAUAAUGAUGUUGUUACUUUAGAGAGGACUUGGGUUCUUUUAUGCCUUGCUCUCGUGCUAGUUCCUGGCACCGGCAACAUGGUCUCGUUGGACUACCUUGCUAGCUUGAAGGACUUGGAUGAAUUGAAUGAGUUUGCGUGGGACGAGCAUGUGUUGGCAACUGCGUUGAGGGAGGCGAGGAAUUACCAACUAAAGAGGGAGGCUGGGGCAAGUGGCUUCUCGAUAGGCGGCUGUCUACCUAUGUUCGUGGUAUGCCAAACGCAAAUCAUUUUGUCUAUGUUUUCAUUGGUUCAUAUUUUUGCUUUACUUUAUUUUAUUUUAUUCUGCUCGCAACAAUCAUAUGUACGAUACAACCUUCUGAUUUGUUUUCUUUUUCAAAAAUAUAUGUAG